GAUGAACGCUGGCGGCGUGCUUAACACAUGCAAGUCGAACGAAGCACUUUAUUCGAUUUUCUUCGGAGAUGAAGAUUUAGUGACUGAGUGGCGGACGGGUGAGUAACGCGUGGAUAACCUGCCUCACACUGGGGGAUAACAGUUAGAGAUGACUGCUAAUACCGCAUAAGCGCACAGUACCGCAUGGUACGGUGUGAAAAACUCCGGUGGUGUGAGAUGGAUCCGCGUUUGAUUGGCCAGUUGGCGGGGUAACGGCCCACCAAAGCGACGAUCAAGAGCCGACAUGAGAGGGUGACCGGCCACAAUGGGACUGAGAAACGGCCCAAACUCCUAGGGGGGGGAGCAGUGGGGAAUAUUGCGCAAUGGGGGAAACCCUGACGCAGCGACGCCGCGUGAGCGAUGAAGUAUUUCGGUAUGUAAAGCUCUAUCAGCAGGGAAGAAUAAAUGACGGUACCUGACUAAGAAGCCCCGGCUAACUACGUGCCAGCAGCCGCCGUAA
rnacentral:rRNA from 1 species